UAACUACUCCUUAUCAGCUACUCUGAGCCUCAGUCCCAAUCUUUGUUUAUAUAUAUAUAUAUAUUUAUUUAUUUUACAGUAGGAAGAUAUUAAAGUGCAGCACCAAACUCGUCAUUUUCCCCUAGAUUUAAACUAAAGGAUUGAAAGAGAAUUGAAAAGAGAAAAACCUCCUCAUUGUGCAAGUCCAUGCCAGCCCAAGCCUUGCCUGCCUCUGGAUGCACAGCCCACUUCAGGAACUACUGGUUUGAGCACACAAUCUUGAAGGCCUCCACUAAGUCUCCCUCUCCCUCUCCCCGGUCUCCCUCUCCCUCUCCCUCUCUCUCCACAGUCUCCCUCUGAUGCCGAGCCGAGGCUGGACUGUGCUGCCGCCAUCUCGGCUCACUGCAACCUCCCUGCCUGAUUCUCCUGCCUCAGCCUGCCGAGUGCCUGGGAUUGCAGGCACGCGCCGCCACGCCUGACUGGUUUUUGUAUUUUUUGGUGGAGACGGGGUUUCACCGUGUUGGCCGGACUGGUCUCCAGCUCCUGACCGCGAGUGAUCUGCCCGCCUCAGACUCCGGAGGUGCCGGGAUUGCAGACGGAGUCUCGCUCACUCAGUGCUCAAUGUUGCCCAGGCUGGAGUGCAGUGGCGUGAUCUCGGCUGGCUACAAACUCCACCUCCCAGCCGCCUGCCUUGGCCUCCCAAAGUGCAGAGAUUGCAGCCUCUGCCCGGCCGCCACCCCGUCUGGGAAGUGAGGAGCGUCUCUGCCUGGCCGCCCAUCAUCUGGGAUGUGAGGAGCCCCUCUUCCCGGCCGCCCAGUCUGGGAAGUGAGGAGCGCCUCUUCCCGGCUGCCACCCUGUCUGGGAAGUGAGGAGCGUCUCUGCCUGGCCGCCCAUCGUCUGGGAUGUGAGGAGCCCCUCUGCCCCCCCGCCCCGUCUGGGAUGUGAGGAGAGCCUCUGGCCGGCCGCCAUCCCGUCUGGGAAGUGAGGAGCAUCUCUGCCCGGCUGCCCAUCAUCUGGGAUGUGAGGAGCGCCUCUGCCCGGCCGCCAUCCCGUCUGGGAAGUGAGGAGUGUCUCUGCCUGGCCGCCCGUCCUCUGAGAUGUGGGGAGCGCCUCUGCCCCGCCGCCCCAUCUGGGAUGUGAGGACCCCCUCUGCCCCCCACCCCCCGCCCCGUCUGGGAUGUGAGGAGCGCCUCUGCCCGGCCGCGACCCCGUCUGGGAACUGAGGAGUGUCUCUGCCUGACCGCCACCCCGUCUGGGAGGUGAGGAGCGUCUCUGCCCUGCUGCCCCGUCUGAGAAGUGAGGAGCCCCUCCGCCCAGCAGCUGCCCCGUCCGGGAGGGAGGUGGGGGGCAGCCCCUGCCCGGCCAGCCGCCCCGGCGGGGAGGGAGGUGGGCAGCCCCCGCCCGGCAGCCGCCCUGUCCGGGAGGUGGGGGGCGCCUCUGCCCGACCACCCCAUCUGGGAAGUGAGGAGCCCCUCUGCCCAGCCGCCACCCCGUCUGGGAGGUGUACCCAACAGCUCAUUGAGAACAGGCCAUGAUGACGAUGGUGGUUUUGUCGAAUAGAAAAAGGGGGAAAAGUGGGGAAAAGAAAGAGAAAUCAGAUUGUUACAGUGUCUGUGUAGAAAGAAGUAGACAUCCUGACUCCAUUUUGUUCUGUACUAAGAAAAAUUCUUCUGCCUUGGGAUGCUGUUAAUCUAUAAUCUUACCCCCAACCCCGUGCUCUCUGAAACAUGUGGUGUGUCCACUCAGGGUUAAAUGGAUUAAGGGCGGAGCAAGAUGUGCUUUGUUAAACAGAUGCUUGAAGACAGCAUGCUGGUUAAGAGUCAUCACCACUCCCUAAUCUCAAGUACCCAGGGACACAAACACUGCGGAAGGCCGCAGGGUCCUCUGCCUAGGAAAACCAGAGACCCUUGUUCACAUGUUUAUCUGCUGACCUUCCCUCCACUAUUGUCCUAUGACCCUGCCAAAUCCCCCUCUCCGAGAAACACCCAAGAAUGAUCAAUAAAUACUAAAAAAAAAAAAAAAAGUUUCUAUAUUUGACUGGUGCUUUUUUUUAACCAAAAAACCAAUAAUUUCAGAUGUUCAAAGAAAUACAUUUUACACUGAGGCCCAAUACACAAAAUAAAUACAUAUACACAUGCAUAUAUAAUACACAUAAACAUAUACAGAUAUAUAUGUGUGUGUAUGUACAUAUACACAUAUAUAUCUGUAUAAAUAUAUAUCUGUAUGUGUGUAUGUAUGUAUACAGUUGAUCCUUAAACAACAUGGGAGUUAGGGGCACCAACCCUCCACAGCCAAAAAUUCACAUAAAACUUUUGGCUCCCCCAAAAGUACUAAUAGUCUAUUAUUGACCAGAAGCCUUACUAAUAAAGAGUAGGUUAACACGUUUUGUAUGUUAUAUGUAUUACAUACUGCAGCCUUACAAUAAAGUAAGAUAGAGAAAAGAAAAUGUUACUAAGGAAAUCAUGAGGAAGAAAAUAUAAAUUUACUAUUCAUUAAGUGAAAGUGGAUCAUCGUAAAGGACAUCAUCCUCAUUAUCUUUACAUUGAGUAAGCUGAGAAGGAAAAGGAAGAAGUGGGGGUUGGUCUUGUUGUCUCAGGGGCAGCAGAGUUGGAAAAAAAAUCCACAUAUAAGUGGAUCCAUGCAGUUCAAACCCAUGUUGUUUAAGGGUCAACU
rnacentral:lncRNA from 1 species